UAUUUUUUAAGUGUAGUCCAGUGGUU
rnacentral:piRNA from 1 species